GGUUAAGCGACUAAGCGUACACGGUGGAUGCCCUGGCAGUCAGAGGCGAUGAAGGACGUGCUAAUCUGCGAUAAGCGUCGGUAAGGUGAUAUGAACCGUUAUAACCGGCGAUUUCCGAAUGGGGAAACCCAGUGUGUUUCGACACACUAUCAUUAACUGAAUCCAUAGGUUAAUGAGGCGAACCGGGGGAACUGAAACAUCUAAGUACCCCGAGGAAAAGAAAUCAACCGAGAUUCCCCCAGUAGCGGCGAGCGAACGGGGAGCAGCCCAGAGCCUGAAUCAGUGUGUGUGUUAGUGGAAGCGUCUGGAAAGGCGCGCGAUACAGGGUGACAGCCCCGUACACAAAAAUGCACAUGCUGUGAGCUCGAUGAGUAGGGCGGGACACGUGGUAUCCUGUCUGAAUAUGGGGGGACCAUCCUCCAAGGCUAAAUACUCCUGACUGACCGAUAGUGAACCAGUACCGUGAGGGAAAGGCGAAAAGAACCCCGGCGAGGGGAGUGAAAAAGAACCUGAAACCGUGUACGUACAAGCAGUGGGAGCACGCUUAGGCGUGUGACUGCGUACCUUUUGUAUAAUGGGUCAGCGACUUAUAUUCUGUAGCAAGGUUAACCGAAUAGGGGAGCCGAAGGGAAACCGAGUCUUAACUGGGCGUUAAGUUGCAGGGUAUAGACCCGAAACCCGGUGAUCUAGCCAUGGGCAGGUUGAAGGUUGGGUAACACUAACUGGAGGACCGAACCGACUAAUGUUGAAAAAUUAGCGGAUGACUUGUGGCUGGGGGUGAAAGGCCAAUCAAACCGGGAGAUAGCUGGUUCUCCCCGAAAGCUAUUUAGGUAGCGCCUCGUGAAUUCAUCUCCGGGGGUAGAGCACUGUUUCGGCAAGGGGGUCAUCCCGACUUACCAACCCGAUGCAAACUGCGAAUACCGGAGAAUGUUAUCACGGGAGACACACGGCGGGUGCUAACGUCCGUCGUGAAGAGGGAAACAACCCAGACCGCCAGCUAAGGUCCCAAAGUCAUGGUUAAGUGGGAAACGAUGUGGGAAGGCCCAGACAGCCAGGAUGUUGGCUUAGAAGCAGCCAUCAUUUAAAGAAAGCGUAAUAGCUCACUGGUCGAGUCGGCCUGCGCGGAAGAUGUAACGGGGCUAAACCAUGCACCGAAGCUGCGGCAGCGACGCUUAUGCGUUGUUGGGUAGGGGAGCGUUCUGUAAGCCUGUGAAGGUGUGCUGUGAGGCAUGCUGGAGGUAUCAGAAGUGCGAAUGCUGACAUAAGUAACGAUAAAGCGGGUGAAAAGCCCGCUCGCCGGAAGACCAAGGGUUCCUGUCCAACGUUAAUCGGGGCAGGGUGAGUCGACCCCUAAGGCGAGGCCGAAAGGCGUAGUCGAUGGGAAACAGGUUAAUAUUCCUGUACUUGGUGUUACUGCGAAGGGGGGACGGAGAAGGCUAUGUUGGCCGGGCGACGGUUGUCCCGGUUUAAGCGUGUAGGCUGGUUUUCCAGGCAAAUCCGGAAAAUCAAGGCUGAGGCGUGAUGACGAGGCACUACGGUGCUGAAGCAACAAAUGCCCUGCUUCCAGGAAAAGCCUCUAAGCAUCAGGUAACAUCAAAUCGUACCCCAAACCGACACAGGUGGUCAGGUAGAGAAUACCAAGGCGCUUGAGAGAACUCGGGUGAAGGAACUAGGCAAAAUGGUGCCGUAACUUCGGGAGAAGGCACGCUGAUAUGUAGGUGAAGCGACUUGCUCGUGGAGCUGAAAUCAGUCGAAGAUACCAGCUGGCUGCAACUGUUUAUUAAAAACACAGCACUGUGCAAACACGAAAGUGGACGUAUACGGUGUGACGCCUGCCCGGUGCCGGAAGGUUAAUUGAUGGGGUCAGCGCAAGCGAAGCUCUUGAUCGAAGCCCCGGUAAACGGCGGCCGUAACUAUAACGGUCCUAAGGUAGCGAAAUUCCUUGUCGGGUAAGUUCCGACCUGCACGAAUGGCGUAAUGAUGGCCAGGCUGUCUCCACCCGAGACUCAGUGAAAUUGAACUCGCUGUGAAGAUGCAGUGUACCCGCGGCAAGACGGAAAGACCCCGUGAACCUUUACUAUAGCUUGACACUGAACAUUGAGCCUUGAUGUGUAGGAUAGGUGGGAGGCUUAGAAGUGUGGACGCCAGUCUGCAUGGAGCCGACCUUGAAAUACCACCCUUUAAUGUUUGAUGUUCUAACGUUGACCCGUAAUCCGGGUUGCGGACAGUGUCUGGUGGGUAGUUUGACUGGGGCGGUCUCCUCCUAAAGAGUAACGGAGGAGCACGAAGGUUGGCUAAUCCUGGUCGGACAUCAGGAGGUUAGUGCAAUGGCAUAAGCCAGCUUGACUGCGAGCGUGACGGCGCGAGCAGGUGCGAAAGCAGGUCAUAGUGAUCCGGUGGUUCUGAAUGGAAGGGCCAUCGCUCAACGGAUAAAAGGUACUCCGGGGAUAACAGGCUGAUACCGCCCAAGAGUUCAUAUCGACGGCGGUGUUUGGCACCUCGAUGUCGGCUCAUCACAUCCUGGGGCUGAAGUAGGUCCCAAGGGUAUGGCUGUUCGCCAUUUAAAGUGGUACGCGAGCUGGGUUUAGAACGUCGUGAGACAGUUCGGUCCCUAUCUGCCGUGGGCGCUGGAGAACUGAGGGGGGCUGCUCCUAGUACGAGAGGACCGGAGUGGACGCAUCACUGGUGUUCGGGUUGUCAUGCCAAUGGCACUGCCCGGUAGCUAAAUGCGGAAGAGAUAAGUGCUGAAAGCAUCUAAGCACGAAACUUGCCCCGAGAUGAGUUCUCCCUGACUCCUUGAGAGUCCUGAAGGAACGUUGAAGACGACGACGUUGAUAGGCCGGGUGUGUAAGCGCAGCGAUGCGUUGAGCUAACCGGUACUAAUGAACCGUGAGG
rnacentral:rRNA from 1 species